rnacentral:tRNA from 1 species
ACUUAAAUAGUUUAAUUAAAAAUAAGAGAUUGUGGUUCUUUUGAUGUGUGAAUUACUUUAGGUA